GACGAACGCUGGCGGCGUGCCUAAUACAUGCAAGUCGAGCGAAUCUUUAGGAGCUUGCUCCUGAAGGUUAGCGGCGGACGGGUGAGUAACACGUGGGCAACCUGCCUAUAAGACUGGGAUAACUUCGGGAAACCGGAGCUAAUACCGGAUAAUCCUUUUCCUCUCAUGAGGGAAAGCUGAAAGACGGUUUCGGCUGUCACUUAUAGAUGGGCCCGCGGCGCAUUAGCUAGUUGGUGAGGUAACGGCUCACCAAGGCGACGAUGCGUAGCCGACCUGGGAGGGUGAUCGGCCACACUGGGACUGAGACACGGCCCAGACUCCUACGGGAGGCAGCAGUAGGGAAUCUUCCGCAAUGGACGAAAGUCUGACGGAGCAACGCCGCGUGAGCGAUGAAGGCCUUCGGGUCGUAAAGCUCUGUUGUUAGGGAAGAACAAGUAUCGGAGUAACUGCCGGUACCUUGACGGUACCUAACCAGAAAGCCACGGCUAACUACGUGCCAGCCGCCGCAGUAAAAC
rnacentral:rRNA from 1 species